rnacentral:rRNA from 1 species
AACGAACGCUGGCGGCAUGCCUAACACAUGCAAGUCGAACGAGACCUUCGGGUCUAGUGGCGCACGGGUGCGUAACGCGUGGUAACCUGCCCUUAGGUUCGGAAGAACUCCCCGAAAGGGGUGCUAAUACCGGAUAAUGUCUUCGGACCAAAGAUUUAUCGCCUUUGGAUGGGCCCGCGUUGGAUUAGCUAGUUGGUAGGGUAAAAGCCUACCAAGGCGACGAUCCAUAGCUGGUCUGAGAGGAUGAUCAGCCACACUGGGACUGAGACACGGCCCAGACUCCUACGGGAGGCAGAAGUGGAGAAUAUUGGACAAGGGGCGAAAGCCUGAUCCAGCAGUGCCGCGUGAGUGAUGAAGGCCUUAGGGUUGUAAAGCUCUUUUACCCGGGAUGAUAAUGACAGUACCGGGAGAAUAAGCUCCGGCUAACUCCGUG